rnacentral:rRNA from 1 species
GGCGAGUGGCGAACGGGUGAGUAACAUAUCGGAACGUACCGAGCAGUGGGGGAUAACUAAUCGAAAGAUUAGCUAAUACCGCAUAUUUUCUGAGGAAGAAAGCAGGGGACCUUUGGGCCUUGCGCUGUUUGAGCGGCCGAUAUCUGAUUAGCUAGUUGGUGGGGUAAAGGCCUACCAAGGCGACGAUCAGUAGCGGGUCUGAGAGGAUGAUCCGCCACACUGGGACUGAGACACGGCCCAGACUCCUACGGGAGGCAGCAGUGGGGAAUUUUGGACAAUGGGCGCAAGCCUGAUCCAGCCAUGCCGCGUGUCUGAAGAAGGCCUUCGGGUUGUAAAGGACUUUUGUCAGGGAAGAAAAGGGCGGGGUUAAUACCCCUGUCUGAUGACGGUACCUGAAGAAUAAGCACCGGCUAACUACGUGCCAGCAGCCGCGGUAAUACGUAGGGUGCGAGCGUUAAUCGGAAUUACUGGGCGUAAAGCGGGCGCAGACGGUUACUUAAGCAGGAUGUGAAAUCCCCGGGCUCAACCUGGGAACUGCGUUCUGAACUGGGUGACUAGAGUGUGUCAGAGGGAGGUAGAAUUCCACGUGUAGCAGUGAAAUGCGUAGAGAUGUGGAGGAAUACCGAUGGCGAAGGCAGCCUCCUGGGAUAACACUGACGUUCAUGCCCGAAAGCGUGGGUAGCAAACAGGAUUAGAUACCCUGGUAGUCCACGCCCUAAACGAUGUCGAUUAGCUGUUGGGCAGCAUGACUGCUUAGUAGCGAAGCUAACGCGUGAAAUCGACCGCCUGGGGAGUACGGUCGCAAGAUUAAAACUCAAAGGAAUUGACGGGGACCCGCACAAGCGGUGGAUGAUGUGGAUUAAUUCGAUGCAACGCGAAGAACCUUACCUGGUCUUGACAUGUACGGAACCCUCCAGAGACGGAGGGGUGCCUUCGGGAGCCGUAACACAGGUGCUGCAUGGCUGUCGUCAGCUCGUGUCGUGAGAUGUUGGGUUAAGUCCCGCAACGAGCGCAACCCUUGUCAUUAGUUGCCAUCAUUAAGUUGGGCACUCUAAUGAGACUGCCGGUGACAAGCCGGAGGAAGG